rnacentral:lncRNA from 1 species
UUUUAAGCAUGACUUAAUUAAGAGAACUCUUAAGUAUCCAAACUUUAAAAGUUGCUAUUUCUCACAAGUCUUAGUUGUUAGCUGCAACUGAAAUAGGAUCAACAACUAGGUACUUGCUUAAAGGCACAUUAACCUUUGUCUUCACAUUCAAUAAAUAUAUGCCUGUUUUAUGGACUGGAUGCUUGUGUCCCCCAAAAUUCGUAGGUUGAAGCCCUUACCCCAAUCUGACUGUAUUUGAGAUAGAACCCAUAUGGAAGUAAUCAGGGUAGAAUGAGGUCAUAAAGGUAGGGCCUUGAUCCUGAUAGGAUUAGUGUCAUAAGAGACACCAGAGAACUUUCUCUUUCUCCCCACCAUGUGAGGACACAGUGAGAAGUUGGCCAUCCGCAAGCCAGGAAAAGAACUCUCACCAGAACCUGACCAUGCUCACACCCUGAUGUCAGACUUCCAGGCUCCAGAAUUGCCUGCCCAUGAAAAACCCAAGAGGAUGAAACAGAGAACUCCCAGGCCUUGCCCUGUAGUCACAGAGAACGGGAGACUGCCUGACUGUGGGCAUCACAAGAAUUUCAAGGCCCAGAACUUGGAAGUUAGGCCUGAAGGGAAUGGCUCACAGCAUCUCAGAGUGAUCACCUUCUACGACACAACAAACUUACAACUACUCUUGGAACAAUUACCCUAAGAGAGAACUGAAAACUGGAUUAAAAAAACCCCACAACAAAACAAGGGAGAGUGCUGACUGAGGUGGAAGAGGCAGAAAUUCCUUUCUGGAGAGAAAAAGCCACCUGCUAGCUGUG